rnacentral:tRNA from 1 species
GUCGUCGUGGCCGAGUGGUUAAGGCGAUGAACUAGAAAUCCAUUGGGGUUUCCCCGCGUAGGUUCGAAUCCUACGGACGACG